UGGGGUGGAAAAAAUGUUCUUCGCAAUUCUAGCGGAUGCGCACCGGUUGACAUCAAACAUGAAAAAGAUGCGUAUAAUUUAGUUAUAAUGUAAAUAUGUGUAUUCUCCUGCAAGCAAGAGUUUACCCGUAUCGUUGAAAUAUUUGACACCAUUGCUAUAAACCGCAAGGGACAGAAUCCAUUGAAUAUUGAGGAGCAAGCAAGAAUACAAUAGGAUGGAGACAGUAUGUGGUAAAGGAGGGACAUUGGAUGGUGACGGUCAUCGUUAAACAAGAGGAAGAAGACCAUAUGGAGCAGAUGUCCAAUGGUCCACUGUCAUCUGACACACUCAUCAAACAGGAGCAAGAAGAGGGCCUAUAGAACAAGGCACUACAGCUCCAGAUGACCAACUCCCUGAGGAAACAGACACCCUGGAAGAAGCAGAGAAGGAAGGGAAAGACAGGAGAGGUGCUGGUCUGCUGUUAAGACUGUGGAUGUCUGGGUCAGACUUCAGUUGGUGCUGCAGACUGUGUCAGUGCUGCUUCAGUUCCUCCUGGCAGCUGACGGGACACUGUUGUACUGGCAUCGCGGGGGAGGACGGGGUCACCCACGGCCACAAGGCAAACUGGAGUUCCAGUGCCCAGGUUGUGGCGACCGCUUCCUCCGCGCCUUCAUCAUGCACAAGCGCAGUCACAUUGGCCAGUCCCAGUACGUCCGCCACGGGACUGUGGCUGAACGACAGCAGUGCCAUGACUGCAGCCAGACGGCACUCAGAAGCCACCGGGAGAGACAGCACGGAGAGGAGAGGAACUGGGAGGAUGAGGAGGACAGGGUGGUGAGAGAGGAAGAGCAGGGAAGCACUGCAGUAAUCUCUAUUGAUUCAACCUGAGUUUCAGCUCAGCCUCCCCAGUCUCAGUGCCACCAGUGUUUCAUGACCUUUCAGGAUGCAGAGACAGAAGAGAGGCAUUUACACUUCAAGCACCCAGUGGAGUAUGAGAGACAUCUCAGAGGUCGCACAGUGUUUGCCUGCUGUGUCUGCGACUGAACAUUCCCCUCCUCCCGCCUGCUCUCAGCUCACCAACGCACCCACAGCAAGGGGAGUCUGCCCCCUACUGGACCAGAAGACUCUGUCCAAGAAUGCACAGAUGGAGGAGAGGCCGAGGGGUCAGCCAUAGUAGUACGGCACCCCUGGAGCAAAUAGGGGUCAGCUGUCUUGCUCAAGGACACAUCGACAGAUCUUUCACCGUGUCGGCAUAUUAUUUCAGGUAUAGACAAUGAAAAAAACAGAGCUGGUCCAAUGAGCUGUGAGCACUGUCAUAUCACCUUCAAUGACCCUCGAACCUGGGAACGUCACAUGACGGCCAAGCACCCCCCAUCCCUGUCGACACCUACUUCACCAGGGAAUGCCUACCUGACUUCUAGACCUGCCAGGGGUCAACUACGACCCUAUCGCUGCUCAUCCUGUGGAGAGAGAUUCAUACAGGAAAGCACUCUGACCAAACACGGCACCAAGGCACAUGUCAGCUGAGAGAGGAUGAUUCUGGGAGCAUAGAUACCAAGAUGCAAUAUCUUUUCCAUAGCAAAAAUGAAAACAGGAAGCAGACCAGACUCUUUGGUCCUUUUAUUUUCCAAGCUAUAGCUUUAAAAAUAAAUACAUGUGAUUCUGGAUAAAAAACAUAAUGAUGUUUGUUUCCAACUUCAAGGCUGUUUCCCCAAAGAAGUUAAAUCCACUUCGUGUUUUGUUUCCUUGCCACGAUACUGGUAUCUUCCUGGCCCUAACAUCUUGAAAAGCACCGGUGUUAAAAUGGAGUAGUUUUCAAAAUAAAAGCCUGACCAUAUUUAUUAGAGAUUCACAUAAAAAAAUACAAAUUCUCCUGUACCCUGAUUUAAGAUGAAAACAGACCAAACCAGCUUUUGAUCAUUUUGAUAGCAAUAAUGUCUGUACUACGACAGGUAAACUACAUGAACAAAAGUAUGUGAACACCUGCUCAUCGAACAUCUCACUCUAAAAUCAUGGGUAUUAAUAUGGAAUUGGUCCCCCCUUUACUGCUAUA